rnacentral:hammerhead_ribozyme from 1 species
AUUCAGCUGAUGAGUCCCAAAUAGGAUGAAACGC